UGGGGAAUAUUGGACAAUGGGCGAAAGCCUGAUCCAGCCAUGCCGCGUGAGUGACGAAGGCCUUAGGGUUGUAAAGCUCUUUUGUCCGGAACGAAACGGAUACGUCUAAUACGCGUGUCUACUGACGGUACCGGAAGAAUAAGCACCGGCUAACUACGUGCCAGCAGCCGCGGUAAUACGUAGGGUGCGAGCGUUAAUCGGAAUUACUGGGCGUAAAGCGUGCGCAGGCGGUUUUGUAAGCCAGAUGUGAAAUCCCCAGGCUUAACCUGGGAACUGCAUUCGAGACUGCAUUGCUAGAGUAUGGGAGAGGGAAGUGGAAUUUCAGGUGUAGCGGUGAAAUGCGUAGAUAUCUGAAGGAACAUCAGUGGCGAAAGCGACUUCCUGGACCAAUACUGACGCUCAUGUGCGAAAGCGUGGGGAGCAAA
rnacentral:rRNA from 1 species